UACGGAGGGUGCAAGCGUUAUCCGGAUUCACUGGGUUUAAAGGGUGCGUAGGUGGGCAGGUAAGUCAGUGGUGAAAUCUCCGGGCUUAACCCGGAAACUGCCGUUGAUACUAUCUGUCUUGAAUAUAGUGGAGGUGAGCGGAAUAUGUCAUGUAGCGGUGAAAUGCUUAGAUAUCGAGAGGAACACCUGCGGCGAAGGCGGGUUGCUGGGCUGACACUGACGCUGAUGCGCGAAAGCCAGGGGAGCGAACGGG
rnacentral:rRNA from 1 species